rnacentral:rRNA from 1 species
UACGAAGGGGGCUAGCGUUGCUCGGAAUCACUGGGCGUAAAGGGUGCGUAGGCGGGUCUUUAAGUCAGGGGUGAAAUCCUGGAGCUCAACUCCAGAACUGCCUUUGAUACUGAAGAGCUUGAGUCCGGGAGAGGUGAGUGGAACUGCGAGUGUAGAGGUGAAAUUCGUAGAUAUUCGCAAGAACACCAGUGGCGAAGGCGACUCACUGGCCCGGUACUGACGCUGAGGCACGAAAGCGUGGGGAGCAAACAGG